CCUUCGAUAGCUCAGUUGGUAGAGCGGAGGACUGUAGCGGAUUAUCACUGAAAUCCUUAGGUCGCUGGUUCGAAUCCGGCUCGAAGGA
rfam:Danio rerio chromosome 4, GRCz11 reference primary assembly.